rnacentral:rRNA from 1 species
AUUGAACGCUGGCGGCAUGCCUUACACAUGCAAGUCGAACGGCAGCACGGGAGCAAUCCUGGUGGCGAGUGGCGAACGGGUGAGUAAUAUAUCGGAACGUGCCCAGUCGUGGGGAUAACGUAGCGAAAGCUACGCUAAUACCGCAUACGAUCUAUGGAUGAAAGCGGGGGAUCGCAAGACCUCGCGCGAUUGGUGCGGCCGAUAUCAGAUUAGGUAGUUGGUGAGGUAAAGGCUCACCAAGCCGACGAUCUGUAGCUGGUCUGAGAGGACGACCAGCCACACUGGGACUGAGACACGGCCCAGACUCCUACGGGAGGCAGCAGUGGGGAAUUUUUGGACAAUGGGCGCAAGCCUGAUCCAGCAAUGCCGCGUGCAGGAUGAAGGCCUUCGGGUUGGUUAAACGUU